GAUGAACGCUGGCGGCGUGCCUAAUACAUGCAAGUCGAGCGAACGGACGAGAAGCUUGCUUCUCUGAUGUUAGCGGCGGACGGGUGAGUAACACGUGGAUAACCUACCUAUAAGACUGGGAUCACUUCGGGAAACCGGAGCUAAUACCGGAUAAUAUUUUGAACCGCAUGGUUCAAAAGUGAAAGACGGUCUUGCUGUCACUUAUAGAUGGAUCCGCGCUGCAUUAGCUAGUUGGUAAGGUAACGGCUUACCAAGGCAACGAUGCAUAGCCGACCUGAGAGGGUGAUCGGCCACACGGGAACUGAGACACGGUCCAGACUCCUACGGGAGGCAGCAGUAGGGAAUCGUCCGCAAUGGGCGAAAGCCUGACGGAGCAACGCCGCGUGAGUGAUGAAGGUCUUCGGAUCGUAAAACUCUGUUAUUAGGGAAGAACAUAUGUGUAAGUAACUGUGCACAUCUUGACGGUACCUAAUCAGAAAGCCACGGCUAACUACGUG
rnacentral:rRNA from 1 species